CAGUCGCCGCGGUAAAACGUAGGUGGCAAGCGUUGUCCGGAAUUAUUGGGCGUAAAGGGCUCGCAGGCGGUUUCUUAAGUCUGAUGUGAAAGCCCCCGGCUCAACCGGGGAGGGUCAUUGGAAACUGGGAAACUUGAGUGCAGAAGAGGAGAGUGGAAUUCCACGUGUAGCGGUGAAAUGCGUAGAGAUGUGGAGGAACACCAGUGGCGAAGGCGACUCUCUGGUCUGUAACUGACGCUGAGGAGCGAAAGCGUGGGGAGCGAACAGGAUUAGAUACCCGCGUAGUCCCUGUCUCUUAUAC
rnacentral:rRNA from 1 species